rnacentral:rRNA from 1 species
ACGCUCGACACCUACGGAGGCAGCAGUGGGGAAUAUUGCACAAUGGGGGGAACCCUGAUGCAGCGACGCCGCGUGAGUGAAGAAGUACUUCGGUAUGUAAAGCUCUAUCAGCAGGGAAGAAAAUGACGGUACCUGACUAAGAAGCCCCGGCUAACUACGUGCCAGUAGCCGCGGUAAUCUGAGCGGGCUGGCAAGGC